UCCCGAAAAGAAAAAAUUCUA
rnacentral:piRNA from 1 species